GAUCAAGAAGGUCCAGGAAGCUUUAUGAUUCAUGUGUAGAAUUGUGAUAUUGAGUGUUAUAUCAUAAGCUAGAAUAUGAUUGACUACUCAUUUUUACGCAGCUUUGAUGGCAUCCACCUUUUGCACUAGCAGAAUCUUGUCUGACAGGAACAUAAAUACACAGCUUUCCUGAACUAUGGUAUGGCUUAAGAGAGCCCUUUUGCUAGUCACUUGAAAUUAGACAUUAUGAUGGAAGAUCAGGUAAGAUUCGAGAUUUUUUUUUACCUCGUGACUCUUUCUAACUCGGUUAGGCACCUGUGUUGGUCUUUUCUUAUACUUUUGGAUAAAUUACAGUGAUAGAUACUAGUCUUAUCAGAACUUUCAAUUAUACACUCAGGCUGUGAAGCACAAAAAUUUCUAGCACCUGCAGUUUUCUGGUUAAACGUCUGCAUUUCUGAAACUCCAUUUCGCGCUAAUGAAGCCUGAAUUGGCUCGAACCUAAGUGUUCGCAUUACAAAACUCCAAUUGUUUUCGUGUACACUUCAGGUGCAUCGAGCCGUUAGGCAUUCCCUGUUUAUUUGUUUAUUUAAAGCUCUCUUAUCAUCUUGUUUUUGCUCAUUUAUGGUUCUCCAAACAAGCAAGAAGAUAAUCAUAGGCAUACUUGAGUUAGAUAUCCGAAUGUAUGAUAGGAAUUAUGCAAGUCCAAUCCGCAGAAAUCUUCCUAGGAGAUUUCUAUUUAUUUGUCUUCCUCCUUUAUGAAGUAUGCUAUCUUUGUGGCUUUUAUUAUUUGCCUUCCCAGUUCUGCUUUCCACCAUUUUUACAGCAAAAGGUAUCUCUUUGUUCUUUCUAGCAGCUGUACCUACUGAGAAGGGAAGUGCAGGGAAAAAGAGUCUGUAGGCUAAAGCGUCGCAUAGAGAAGAUAAUGCAGGACAAACUUAGCCUAAAAGAUGCUUUAUUUAACCCUCUUUAUUCUCUUCUGCUACUUUAUUCUUCUUUGAUUUUCUCUACUGUAAUUUACCUUGACUUCUUGUUUAAUAUUUGUGUAAAAGUUUCAGCUUUAUCUAUAGCUUCUACAUGACUCAACAAUUUCUUGAACUCAACCUUUCAUAUGUACCACCUCUCCACCUCCCAUCAAUAUAUGUAAACAGUACAUUGUCUUCAA